CGGAUUGUAGUCUGCAACUCGACUACAUGAAGCUGGAAUCGCUAGUAAUCGCGAAUCAGAAUGUCGCGGUGAAUACGUUCCCGGGUCUUGUACACACCGCCCGUCACACCAUGGGAGUUGGCAACGCCCGAAGUCAGUGACCCAACCUUAACAGGAGGGAGCUGCCGAAGGCGGGGCUGAUAACUGGGGUGAAGUCGUAACAAGGUAAC
rnacentral:rRNA from 1 species